AAAAAAACAUUUAGCAGGCAAAAAGGGAUUGUUUCAUGUUUCAGUGAGGUUGUAAAACCACAUCUCCAAGCAUGUUAGUGAGAGAGGAGAAAACAAAAAUUAUAACCCUCGAAAGAUUGUUGUUCAUGGCAUUUCAGACAAAUACGAUCACAUCUCUCUCUCCCUUACAACGUAAGAAGAUAAGAUGUACUCUCUUUUUUUUCCUUAACUAAUCGAUCAUGUUCAUAUGUUUUCGUAACUUAGGCGCCAUUAACGUUUUGUUGUUCAUGUUCAACUUGUUCUCCACUUCUCCUUAUUGCACAUAUUGGCGCUUCCCCUUUGCUCUUAUGAUCUGAAAGGUUGUAUAUAUCAUGGCUUCAAAAGCAGGUGGAGCAGGGAAAGCUGGAUGAAAAUCCAGAAGAGAGC
rnacentral:lncRNA from 1 species